GAUGAACGCUGGCGGCGUGCCUAAUACAUGCAAGUCGAGCGAACGGACGAGAAGCUUGCUUCUCUGAUGUUAGCGGCGGACGGGUGAGUAACACGUGGAUAACCUACCUAUAAGACUGGGAUAACUUCGGGAAACCGGAGCUAAUACCGGAUAAUAUUUUGAACCGCAUGGUUCAAAAGUGAAAGACGGUCUUGCUGUCACUUAUAGAUGGAUCCGCGCUGCAUUAGCUAGUUGGUAAGGUAACGGCUUACCAAGGCAACGAUGCAUAGCCGACCUGAGAGGGUGAUCGGCCACACUGGAACUGAGACACGGUCCAGACUCCUACGGGAGGCAGCAGUAGGGAAUCUUCCGCAAUGGGCGAAAGCCUGACGGAGCAACGCCGCGUGAGUGAUGAAGGUCUUCGGAUCGUAAAACUCUGUUAUUAGGGAAGAACAUAUGUGUAAGUAACUGUGCACAUCUUGACGGUACCUAAUCAGAAAGCCACGGCUAACUACGUGCCAGCAGCCGCGGUAAUACGUAGGUGGCAAGCGUUAUCCGGAAUUAUUGGGCGUAAAGCGCGCGUAGGCGGUUUUUUAAGUCUGAUGUGAAAGCCCACGGCUCAACCGUGGAGGGUCAUUGGAAACUGGAAAACUUGAGUGCAGAAGAGGAAAGUGGAAUUCCAUGUGUAGCGGUGAAAUGCGCAGAGAUAUGGAGGAACACCAGUGGCGAAGGCGACUUUCUGGUCUGUAACUGACGCUGAUGUGCGAAAGCGUGGGGAUCAAACAGGAUUAGAUACCCUGGUAGUCCACGCCGUAAACGAUGAGUGCUAAGUGUUAGGGGGUUUCCGCCCCUUAGUGCUGCAGCUAACGCAUUAAGCACUCCGCCUGGGGAGUACGACCGCAAGGUUGAAACUCAAAGGAAUUGACGGGGACCCGCACAAGCGGUGGAGCAUGUGGUUUAAUUCGAAGCAACGCGAAGAACCUUACCAAAUCUUGACAUCCUUUGACAACUCUAGAGACAGAGCCUUCCCCUUCGGGGGACAAAGUGACAGGUGGUGCAUGGUUGUCGUCAGCUCGUGUCGUGAGAUGUUGGGUUAAGUCCCGCAACGAGCGCAACCCUUAAGCUUAGUUGCCAUCAUUAAGUUGGGCACUCUAAGUUGACUGCCGGUGACAAACCGGAGGAAGGUGGGGAUGACGUCAAAUCAUCAUGCCCCUUAUGAUUUGGGCUACACACGUGCUACAAUGGACAAUACAAAGGGCAGCGAAACCGCGAGGUCAAGCAAAUCCCAUAAAGUUGUUCUCAGUUCGGGUUGUAGUCUGCAACUCGACUACAUGAAGCUGGAAUCGCUAGUAAUCGUAGAUCAGCAUGCUACGGUGAAUACGUUCCCGGGUCU
rnacentral:rRNA from 1 species